UACGGAGGGGACUAGCGUUGUUCGGAAUUACUGGGCGUAAAGCGCACGUAGGCGGAUUGUUUAGUCAGGGGUGAAAUCCCGAGGCUCAACCUCGGAACUGCCUUUGAUACUGGCAAUCUCGAGUCCGGAAGAGGUGAGUGGAAUUCCUAGUGUAGAGGUGAAAUUCGUAGAUAUUCGCAAGAACACCAGUGGCGAAGGCGGC
rnacentral:rRNA from 1 species